CUCAGUGUAUAUCCAGUUAGCCUGUCCCUUCAGUGUGAUCCCGAGGUUUAUUUGUUUCUUGGCAUUUUUGGCACACAUUCACAAAUGUCUGUUAAUGUUAUAGCUUCAAGAAGCAAUGUCUAACUGCAGGGGUGCUUACUGUGUAGCUCCUGGUUAACAAUAAAUGACUUUCAGCUAAGACUUCUUUUGUGUGAGUUAAGAGAAUUUACAGUCAGCAAACGAUUUUAGAAGCGGUGAUGAUCUGGUGUUGAAAAUAAACAUCUAAAAGCAGAUUGUUUGCCUAAAUUGCGUAUCUGUUUAUAGACAUUAGACAUAGAUUUCCUCACUGCAUGACAAUCAUGUGCACAAAUGCAUGUGUGUACAUGUGAGCGAUCAGUGGAGGGCUGUCAGCAGCAGUGGCGGUUCUAGACCAAAUUACUCCCCGGGCGAGCACCCCUCCAAGUGACCCCCCCCCCCCCCCCCACACACACACACACACACACACACACACAAAAAGAGAUCGAAUUUUGAACAGAUAGUUUUGUAUUACUAUGUAUUAUUAUUAUUAUUAUUAUUAGAACAACAAAAAUAAUAUUUCUCAAUUGCAGAAAUCCUUCAACAGAAAAAAACACAAUCCUGAGGGCCAUUUUGAGAAGGGCCCCCAGAUCCUGAGGUUUUCUGAAGUGUUAAGGUUUACAAAAAAAGCUGCUAUCUCGGCCUCUGUAGUAGAUAGAAACAAAAUUCAAAAAGUAUUUGAGAGCUUAUACAUGUGGCUUUCAAGAAAGCUCUCUUUUAGUUUUGCGAACCUUCAUCACAUUUUUGAAAACCUUGAACAAACAAACUCAAAUGAAAUAAAGCGGCUGUGUAAAUAAAAGUAAAGACUGCACUGGAGAAUGACAAAUAAUUUGCUUUCUGUAAAACAAGUGGCAGUCAUGAUAAAGUGUCCAUUCAAUACAAAUGUAAAUAUAGAAAAUAAGGUGUUGAAAGGGUAUACAACUGCCCCAGUAUAGUGCCAGUACAAAAGCAGCUCUAAAAACUAAAAAAUGAAUAAAUAAAUAAAUACGUGGCUGACAGUGUGUUCAUCUCUGUUCUCACCCAAAGUCAUGCAACACUCAGAGAAAACGCUGAUAGUGUGAGCCAAAGCACUCCAUAUGAAGAAGUUGUUCACACUGCUGGAUGUUUCUCCUCUGAAGCUGCUCUCUGCCUCAGUCAUUGUUUACUUUACUCUUGAAGCUCAUCAAGCACGUAGCAAGAUCCGAGCAUGAACCCGAGCGCUUUAUUCGCCUCUUAAAGGCAGACGGGUACGGUGAUUUCAUUCACCGCGACUCCAGAAAUGAUUAAAAAACUACAAAAUGACGUAUCCGCGCUCCCGCUGAUAUGCUGACAUGCGUACACAGAGCAGAGCUGUCCCCCCGCGACUCUCUCCCCACCUUGUCUCAUACAGUCUGUCAGCCUCUGUGCAGCACCUUCGGAGCAAGCAAGGGCGCCUACAGCAGCGGGGGGGCGCCAAUUUGACUACAAGAGUUAAUACAAAACUGCUUUGCGGUUAAGAUUUAUUAUUAUUAUCUUUUAUUUUAUUUUUUUGGAAGUGCUCGUGCCGCCCCCCAUGAGUCAUGACACAAAUGCCGCCCCGGGCGGCUGCCCUGUUCGCCCGUGCCUAGAACCGCUACUGGUCAGCACAGAGGUCAUCCUAUCAUAGUACACACUCAGAGGACUAUUUCCUACCGCUAAUCUUUCUCUUCCUAAAAGAGACAAACGGAGGAGAUCAGAAUAAGGGAGGGGAGAUAGAAGUAAUGUGUCACGAGAUGUCACAGUCAGAUAAUGAUUAGGAGAACUACACCAGGUUUCUCUGCUGUUAUUGGCCUAAUUAACUUGUAAUGAGAAGCACCAAAAAUACCCCAGUGUCCUCAAUUAAUCUCUCACUCUUGUCUCCUUUUUAUAAACUUUAGUGACAAUGGUGACCUAACACUAUGAAUAACAAAAGUUAGAACUUAUCAAUAAUGUCUCUUAUUGAUCAACAACAAAUGUGCAAAUUAUGUUAAUCAAUGAACUUGAGGUAGUAAGGAUAUAUCUUGAGCUGAAUAAAUAAAAUGUUCAACAAGAAUUUUUCAGCUGACAUCUUGACUCGCCAGAUACAGCGUUAAUAUUGGUUACAUUGAUUUUUCAGUUGGCCAGUGUUAUGGCUUUGGUGGUAAUGUUCUUGCUAAGUCAUCGGAAAAGUUAACUGGUGCGAUUAAAUGUGAAAAGGCCAACAGUAAUGCCAUUAUGUUGUUGGCUUAUUUCUUCAGGCUUCUUGGAAGUCUUGUCUGCUUAAAAAAAAAGGGUCAGGAGAUAGAGAGAGGGAGAGAGAGAGAGAGAGAGAGAGAGAGAGAGAGUGGUUGAGUGGUUCCAGGAACAAGCAUCUCCAAAGAAAGUGUCUCAAUUUUCCACUUAAAUAGACUGAAGCUGACAAAAACAAGAAUUAGAAAAUUAGAAAAACAUAGCCUUUGCAUUCAUACAUAAGGAGAUGCCAAAAACAGUUUGUAUUACAACAUUGUGGUCUUGUGAGACUUUAAACCAAUAAAGGAAUCAACAGUUUCUCUUUUAGACAGUAGAAGAAGGUAUUUCUAGUAUCUAAUAAUCCAGCUGGACUGCCAAAGUAGUGACCCAUGGUGAGCCAAUUAAUUAAGGACUACUGAUAAAGCCAAAGUUCUAGUAACAGGAAAUAAGGAUGUGGACUUCAGGCACUACUUGGAUUUAGUUGUAAUCUGUCCACACAUCCCUGAAUGAUUAGAUAGAGACCCAGCUGGCUGCAGUCCAUUGACACAAUGCAGUGGACCAGCAUUAGUCUGGCAGAGAACUGCUGCAGCUCCACUUAAUGCCUGGCCUCUUGUUCACUAUGGUGUUAUUGUUAGAGAUUCCCAUUCAUUGGCAGAGAUGUAAUACACAGCAAAUCAAUUAGUCAUCAAACCUCAAAUGUCUCAAAUUAUUCUGCAUCUAUAUCUAGUUUACUGCAUUCCUCUGUCGUUAUUUCAGUACAUUGGCAAUGUGUUAAAACAGUAAACUGGUAUUUAUGUUUUUUUUUGUUUUUGUUUCCUGGCAUUCUCCUCAUACAGGCCUCGUCUAUAUGUUUUUAUGUCCCUUUAACUGUGAUCCUCCUCUGUAGAUGUGGAAGGCCAAAGGACUUUGGCCAACCCUACUGUCUGGUCUAGUUUCUGAAAAGCUUCGUAAACAGGUUGUGGGCCCCCCUCCCCCCAAAAUCCUCCGAACAGCUCUGUCAUCUGUUUUGAACAAACCUCCAGCUGACUGCUUAUUACACAGACCAGGCUCAGUCAAAAACCAAACACGUAGGACACUCAACUUGACAACUGAGUGGUCCUCUCCAACAAAACGGGGGUAACAGCAGGUUCUUUACUUACAGUCCUCUGUCUUUGAACUCUCCUAAAUUAUAAGCCUGCAGAAUGCUAUUGACUAUUAAUUGAUAUGUGCUAUACCUUUGUUUUAAAGUCAGACUAAUGUUGACUGAGUCUGUCUGUAGCUAGGUAAACGUUUGGUCAAUCUAAGAUAUCUAUGAAAGCCGCUCUUUUGGCCAGGUCUUUUCGAGUCAGGUUACAUAGUGCGGGCAAGUGAUACCUGUAGACAUAUCAGUAUCACAAGCACACAGACAGGCUCCCAUCAUGGCUGCUUAAAGGCUAAAGCCAGAGUUGGGUUAAUCCUAUAGAUAGGGCUCCUUGACAUUGUUGCAUGUCAACAACACUCACUGAUUUAACAGGUUACUACGUGACAGUGUGGACACCACAAGACGUGCCAAGACAGACAGCACACAGUAUUCAGCAGAUGUACAAGCACCAGCCAAGGGUGAAUGUAUUUGUGUUUUCGAUGGAUAGAAUUUCAAUACAGCAAUAAAUUAUUCCUGAAGACAGUCUCCUUACUAAAUUGUUGGCCUGUUUAGACGAGGGUCCCAUCAUGCCACAUGCAGCUCUUGCCCUAUUUGCUCUUUUGGGCAGGGUGUCUGUAUUUUCAGAUUGUGGCCUGUAACAAGAAAGAUAAGGCAAAAAUUUUCUAACCCACUUUGUUUCACUUGGCAAAGACUAAACCAUCAAAGAUGUCGGAAAAGGUUUUGUUUAUUAAUGAAACAGAGAAAACGUGUCGGAAAGGGGAGGAGUGUAAAAUGUCUGGCUUGUGUUUAGAAUAAAUAAAGCUGGUGCCUGUUUCUGUUCACCUUGGCCUAACCUGCUCUAACAUCAUCAAGCUUUUUGUUUUUUUAUAUUAAUAGAACGUGUCCAUGUGUGUGAGAAAGGGUAAGUGAGUGUGUCUGUGUGUAUGUGUUGGGACUGUAUGUGCAUCCUUGACAUUUUCUCACCUUUAAAGUGUGUCAACUCCUGUCUCACGUGCGGUGACAAGAUGGAAGGCUGAACACUUCUCACACCAAAUAUAAACACACACAAACAAACACACGCACACACACACACACACACCUCUCUUACCAAAAAUACUCACACUCACACACCUUAUCACACACUACUAAAAGCAAGGCUCCGAUGUUAACACAAUGGCAUGCACUUAAUGCAACUCUUUAAGAGCAAAUCUCUCUGAACACUCACAGGGGUAAAAUCCUGGUUCUUACAGUGCGCUUUGGAAAGUCAGUGAAACAUAAUGACUCUUAAAGGCUGGGAAACUAUUAUAUAUGUGUAUGUUUGUUAAUUAGUAUCAACAAAGUCUACAUCUUGAUGAAAAAUUGGGCAAUAAUGUGAAUGAGGUAUUGUUGGCAUAUAGAACAAAAAGCAUUAAGUGGUCCAGAGACUUAAAAUUGUUGUUAAUAAACAAUAUUUUUCUGCACUGUAAUCAUUUAUAAGUGCAAGAACCACAUAUGUGAUAACGAUAAAAAGGGCAGUACAGCACUUUACCUACGGUACCUCACUCCUGUGCCAGCCUCUACACAGGUUAACACAGCCAUUCACCCCUCUUCUAGACUAACAGCAAGCGAAAGAUAUGUCAAAUAUUACAAAGCAUUAUGGUGGGGUAAAAUGACAAUAGAGCUAUUGAGUGGUACUAUACUACUAUCGUAUAUUUUCUUUUGUAGUACUCCAUGCAGCUGUAUGCUUGUGAAUAUAUUUUUAAUUAAUGUAAUCUGUUGCAGAGACACUAUACAGCUAAAACCCUCUAGUCCUUGUCCUCUUCUAUGUUAUUGUACCUUUCAAAACACUGUCUCAUGACAACCUAUAAUCACAGAAGACUUCACACCUACUCAGAGCUAGGGGUAACAUUGAAGUCGUAACUUAUACUUACAUCUAAGCUAUCUCAGAUGGUGCACCACCUUAAAAGACAAAGUGUAAACUCCAUCCUACAUCAGCAUGUAUGCUCAUAUUGGGCAAAGUUUGAACACGUGCAUAGCUGGUGCAACCCAGUGCUGAGUCCCCUGUGAGUAAUGCACAUACUGUCAAGUACCUCAUUCAAUCCCAGUACAUUAAUGAUACUUUUAACUGUUAAAGAGCUGAAUCGAACAAAAUUCUUUUUUAAAAAUUCAUGAGAAAAAGAAAACCUGACCGACAGAUAUAUAAAGCCAGAGCUCAAAACCUGGUAUUAUAUUUACACACAUGCAGCCAGUGCAGUGAAAACACAAGCAACUGUUUCAUGCAGGACACCUAAUACUGAAAAUCAACACAGCGUGCAGAAGGCACACAGUCUCAGCUCUGGCUGACUGCAACCCCGAUGAAUAUUAAUCCUUGGAAAAAGCUUGUACACGUGCAAAAACAUAAUACGGUAAUAUAAGGCUCCAAGACAGAGUACAGUUACAGCAACUUCGAGGCUUAGUGCAGGGUGACCUCAAGUACAUGCAUUCGCACACUCUACAUGCAAAUUCAAGCAAGGAUCAGCACAUACCACGUCACACACAAGGAAACAUACCUGAGAGUGACUGAUUCUGUGCUUUGUAUCAGAACAAGAGAAGCUUGGGGCUAUGAAACACAAUUCUUUUGAGCUACUGAGAUACUCUGCUGUGCACUUUGUUUGUCAUACUGGUUUGAUCUAAACACAGUGCAAUGAACACAGAACAGUUCUAUGAUGAUGGCAAAUACUCUGUCUCCCGUUAAGUGUUUUUAAAUGUAGCCCUACUUAUUUAGUCUUUAUGGGACCUGACUUAUGUGGUUACUAUGUUAAAUUUAAUGUUGAGCUGAAAGUCCUUAUGCAAAUACUCCUACACUAAUGAAAGCGCUUUACAAAAUCAGUCAGAAAUUCAAAAUAAAUAUGUUAAUCAAAGGCAGACACAUCAAGCUAUUUUAAUAUUAUUUUAUAUAACUUUAUAGGAAACUGAGAAUGAGACCAACAACUAUUGAGACUCUAAGUAGGUCAAAAAGCAAACCAUGAUUCUCACAAGUACUGUGGCACCGAAUGUUAUAAAAUGAAGGAAAAAAGGAACACUAAACAUGGCAUUGUGAUGAAGAUUAUAAUGUGGCAUUUCAGUGAAGCAAGAGAGGGUAACUAGCCAGAGCCUUAAAGCUCUACUGUAGCACAGGUGAGAAACAGUAGGGAGAUUUGUAGCCUGGUCUGUGAUGAAACGCGUGGUGUGUUUACAGUCUGUGUGGGUAGGGACGUUGGCUGUUGAUACAAAGCAGCGUGGGCUGCGUUGGCAGCAGUGCGGCAUGUUUCUGUGCCAUAGACAGAUCUGCACUGCAGUGCUUGAGUGUGCACGUGAGGAAGAGUGCACAUGUCGGAGGAUUACAGAAGAGCCCAUCCAUAUCCCCCACUGAAGACCCCCCCUCCCUCUUCUGACAAAAUCUGCACCCCUUGCUGCAAUAAUGAAGCCUUCAUUUCUAUUCCUUUGUGGAGUGAGCAGUCAGUCCUCAAUUUACCCCAAAGAACAGCAUAUGUCCACUGAACAGGCGAUUGUAAACCUUGUACCUGAGGCCUACACAGCAAUCUGACAUAAUCCAGAGAGCAUUUAUAUAACUUUAACUGACAUAUAUCAAAUAAAAAUGUGUGAAAAACUGCUUUUUUUACCACAGCACAUAGCAGGGUUGUUAUUACACUGCAGUACAUGAGUUAAUCACUUAUCUGUUGGUUAUCUUCAUGUUGAGACACCUUUCUGAUUCUCUUCCUGUCCCCUUUUCACCCCAGCUUAAGUUCUGUACUUUGAUAUUAAUACGUCCAAGUGAUACAUGAGCAGCGUGGUAAAGGGCUCAGAGACUCCUGGCGUUUUGGAUGCUGGACCUGAUGAUGAUUCUGAGUGUGUGCUGAUGAAGAAAAUUUUGUUCAUGCUCCAAAAGGCAGACUGAACACCACCUGAGGUCCCAAGAGAGAAAGAACAACUAAAUGAUGCACACUGGAAAAGAACUGCAGCCUCUUGGAUACAACAGGGCUGACAAAAGACAAAAAAGCACACACCUGCAAGUAGAACACAAAAACCCUCCUCCGUCUGUCAUUGUAAUCCAGGUGGCGUUCACACAAAGAAAAAGACAAAUUAUAGGUGCUUUGUUUGAGUUACAAAAAGGAAAACAUGCAAGUUUUCUCUUUCGCAGGGCUGACCGAGUAAAAAUAAACUGCAAACACGUGCAAAAAUUCAAAGUUGUUCACUUUCUACAUCAGGAGAAAUUGUCAUUAUACCCUUGGACAAAUCAGCCAGAGUACAUGUAAUAGUUUGCAGAGGGCCAAUUUAAAUCAUUAUGCACAGUAUCAAUCCUUAACCUCAAACUAAAUAUCUUCAUGCACUUUCUUUGAUCUGGUAGUAAUAAAUGUGACAAGUUUCACAUCAAAAACCUGGAUACAAGGACACAACCUUGCAAAUAUUCAAAAAGCGUUUAUUCUGUUUCUCAAAAGCUGCAAACAAAAAGUAAACUCUUUGAACUUCCAGUUCUCCAACUAAAAAAACCCAACUCACUGAAAAGUGUCAGGUGUGGCAGAUGGAGAUCAUGUCACAUAUGAUGCAACACACAUACAGCAUGUUAUGAGACGUGAACCUACUGGUGACCUUCUUUCAAAAGGUCACAUAGCUGUAAUUUCUAAAUAAGACCCUGUGUUUAUCCCCAUGACGACUUCUUUGCAUGACAUUUAUAUCAGCUUGAAAACAGGACAUGCCAGCUUUAUUUCUAAAUCCACCUACAGAGCUCAACCUUUAAACAUCUACGCUGUGAGCCAGGAGCCAGAACUUUUGGCAUCCUGAUGGACUUUCCCAGCUGACCACGGUUUAGCUACAAUACAUCAUAGAAUUGGAUCUGUCUAUGGCCACUAUACAUCAUCUAGGUUGUAUGAUACUGCAAGACCUGGCCUAGUUACACCACACAUAAGAGCAGCCAGAAUCAGAUAGGGAGAUAGAAAAUAAAAUCAUGAUUUGGGUCUGAUGGGAGAGGGCUGGUCCCACCUGAAUCUUUAAAGGGAUAUUCCAGCGUAAAACUAAUUUAGGGUCAAACAUAUCGUAACACUAAGUUUGACACCCCCUCGAGAGAUGAAUGUUGCCGACCGCUUGCUUCUUUAGUUAUACCAACUUUAGUAACGACAGCACAAAAGCAAUACACAGUGGUCUCAGGACCCAUAGACAAACCUCUAAAACGCCAAACGGGGUGACACAGCUCAAGGGAGAACAUUAAUAAUCAUUUCUUCAUGGAAAUGCAAUCAGACCAAGACGCUAAGGCAGAAGAACUACUGCAUCUGCAGUGCAAAAUGAUUAUUAUGAUGAUUAUUACUCCAAGGAAAUGAUAAAGUAAUGAUCAGAAAUAUUCUUCCUUGAGCUGCGACCGCCUCCCGCCUCAGUUGAGGAUGGGCUGAUGGAGGUCUUGCUACAAACAAACGGCUGCUGGAAGAAAGUAGGUGAGUUGUGUUUAGUCUCUUUGCUAAAGAAAUCAGGCAAAGCUAAAGAGAUGUUUGAUGGCUAGUGCUGUGGCUGGGACCCUAUAUGUACUGUUGAUGAAGUUAGGUGCUUUUCUGAGCAUUAUUUGUGGCUAUACAGUGGCUUUUUGGUUGAGGUUUGUGUGUGGCUUGGUGGUCUUGAGAGAAACCCCCUUCAAGGUUGUCUCGACAAGCAAAACACUAAGACUCAUGAAGGCAACAUCAGGGCUGUGUUCUUAAGUUGCUAACUAAAAGAUCAGCUGGGUUAAACACACACAGGCACAAACAAAACCAGGACCCAAAAAUAGAAACUAGUGUUUCCAUGCUAUCGACCUCUUGUACCCUUCGAGUCACAGACAGUGUUUUCACCAGGGUGGAGCCACUUACAUGCAUUUCUCUGAUGGCUAAGGAGUGAGUGGCCAAUAAGAAUUCAAACUCUCUUGUGUUCAAAAGGGGAACAUUGUGUUCCCAAAAGGAAAUGCCUUAAGCACAUACAUACAUGCUGCAGAUAAGCAGUGAGACAUAAAUGAUAUAUGUACUGUAUGUGCAAUGAUGCAAAUGUUGAGCUAAAUCUGUUCAAUGCAAUGUCUUAGUGAUAAGAUCCAAGAAAAUGCUGGGAAUCACUUGAGAUUUUCUACGCAUGUUAAGUUCUUGCAGGUGACCCACAGCUGAAACCACCAGUGGGUGACUCUAGGUCUUGCACUGGCCAAAAUAGAUCCAGUGUAAAGCUCUUGAAAUAAAGUAGUGUGAGACAGAAAGGCUGAGGAUGUGGCGAGACACCGAAGAGAGUUGGGUGCCAGCCAGACCCAGAUAUGGCUUCAGAAUGAGCUGGCAGCGCCAACUACUGCCUCAGCAGUCCAAUGAUAUUGCAACCAGAGGUUAAAUAUAAACUCAGUAAUCCCUCAACAAAAGGACACUUAAUGAGAGCCGGUCUAGAUGGAAGGAUGGAAGCUAGAGGGGAUGAGGUGGAGGGGGGGAAUGCGGCUGGCAAAGGCCCAGGAUUGUGCCAAAGCGACUAAGAGCAGGUUGGUCACUCACUGAAUGGAAGAGCCCCAAGCUCAGUGCCCUCUCAAUGACAAAUACUGCACCGCUCUCCUCCAGCCAGUAAACUUGGCCAAAAAUUCAGGUGCCCCCUGAGCCACACAGACCCAUACCUCUCCUUUUAAACUGGACUCACACCUACUAAUCAACAAAAAAGUAAGUGGGUGAGGGGAUUAUGGAAUGCAUUCUCAGGAUUAAAACUCAUCACACUUUCCAUGAGUGAAAGGUGAUGACUAACUGAUAACUCCCAACCAUGAAGUGGAAUGAAAGCCAAUCAGUCACAGUGUUGGAUUGAAGAGAGAAUCUAAAUUAUUCAUAAAGGUGAAAGAAGCCACACUUCAGGCCGAGGCCACACUUCCAUACUUUUGCCUUAGAUGAGAUGACUACACAGUGCUAUUUUCUCUCCUGAGGACAACCAAAACAUAAACGUCUCCUAUCAAGUGACUGUUUUCCUGUGCAUUUUGAUCUGUUAGGGAAGCUCCCUUUAAUAUAACAUGCUUUCUUUCAGGCAAACAGACUACAAGAGGCACUGGGGAAUCUAUUUUGAGUCUCCUCUUUUUUACACGAAACAUUUGCAUGCCUCUCAAUUUUAAAGAAUGUUUCCACAAAGCCAACGCUGGCCAUCGGGUGUAACCUCAUAUGCCUCAAAGUCACUGCAAAGUGUGAGACCAUGUAUCUGUGACAAUUGACAGAGUCUGGACCUAACCAUCAGACAUGAGAUUAAAAAGGUAAAGCAGAUACUUCAAUGCAGAUAAAUGCAUAAAGCAUACCCAUCCUGAUCACCCCAGCUGUUUUUCCAGCUGAAAGCCUCUUAAUCCUAAUAUGCAGUGCCAGCAAACAUAGCAGUGUGUAUGAGUAGGUGUAAUAAGAGCCCUCUGAUCAGAGGUUUGGGAGAUUAACAGGGGCUGAAUGAUUGACUGCAAAAAGCUGCAUGUCUGAGGCUGGCAGACAGAGAGUAUGCUGGAGGACAUGCCAUGGCUCAAGAGCACAGGAUAACCACGAAGCAGUACAAAGCCAUAAAUGCUGCAAGGUCUUCUGCAUCUGAUGAAAGUAGCACUUCAAGGGAUAAUCCGAUGUAAAUUAAAGCCAUGGUCAAACUCACCGUAGCACUGAGUUAGACCCCUCACGAGAGAUUAAUUUUACCGACCACUUGCUUCUCUAGUUACACCAACUUCAGCAAAGACUGCAUGAUAGCAAUACACAGUGGUCUAUGUCUCCACACGCAACCCACAACCGUAAAGCCACUCUAUAGCCACAAAUAAUUCUCAGAACAGCACCUAACUUCUUUAAAAGUACAUGUAGGGUCCAAGAACAUAGUACUAGCCAUCAAAUAUUUUUUUAGCUUUGCCUGGUUUCUCUGACAAAGAGACCAAACACAACUCACCCACUCUCCUCCAGCAGCCGCUUGUUGUGGGGAAGCCCUGACGAGUUGAUCACUGAGUGCAGCCAAGUUCCGCAGCUCAAGGGAAAAAAAUUAUGAUCAUUACCUCAUGGAAAUGCAAUCAGACCGAGACACUAAGGCAGAAGAACUACUGUGUCUGCAGUGCACAUACAAGAUACACAAGAACUUUUGUUGCAUUUCCAUGAAGUAAUUUUGAAAAGUAAUUUCUCUACUUAAACACAACAGAAAGUUGACAUCUGUUUUUUUGUUUGUUUGUUUUGUUUUGUUUUUGACAAAAAUGGAUGUUGUUCAUAAACUACUCCAAUAUUCUCUUCAGUGUUAACACGUGGAUGUUGCUCCAUAAUGUAUUUGACAAGCACUGCCUUUUUCUGCCACAGAGUAUUUUGUUAAAGUAUUUAUCACAUUUUUUUUGUUUCUCCAGUCCAAGACUUCAAUAAGUUCAUUCAAAAAAAAAAAGUUAUUGUAUAUGUAAAUAAAUAUUUUUGUUUUAGAAGCUGGCGUCAGAAAAUGCCAGUCAAUUGUGAUCAAUAACCUGUGUAUUCAAUUGACAAGCAAAAAUGCAGACCUAAUAACUACAGAAUAUCAUGCAGUGAGUUUAUGAAUAGUUCAAUGGAAUCACAAUUUAUCAUGUAUGCUAAGUACAGCUAUACCUAUCCCUGCCAGCUCCUUCACAUGCGCUGUGUGAGAUCAUGCAACUGGAACUGGAAAGAGCCGGUGAAAUAUGCAGUGCUAAAAUUUAUCUUCUGAUGAAGUCAGCUUGUCAUCGUCUAAGCAACCACAGGGCCUCAGUUUUCAGUGACACAGAAUACUAUCACUGCAUGGGGGAAGCCAGCCAUGCAAGAAAGGGGACUUUGCCUGUGGGGGAAUCCUCUCCAUAACAUGUGUUAUGUAAGUCCUCCAGGGCCCUAUCUGGUAAUGGAGAGUUUUUUUGAGGGUUAGGUCAAAGGCUAUAUUUGAAUAGAAAAUGCAGGCUGCCAAAGCAUAAUCUAUUUUGCAACCCAUGUGGUAAAAUUAAGUUAUUCAAUGAGGUGCUUAGUUCUAAAAACAGGCAAACAUGAACCCAUAAACUAUUUAAUCAACGUAGAACUGGUUGGAUUUGUUCAGUUGAAUUUACAUUUUACACUUUGUACUUAAAAAAAAUAAAACUGGGCUGAUACAGAGGGACAGAAACAAAACUACACCAGAAAGCUGCUACAUCAACUCCUGUUAAAUCCAAGUCAAGGGAUGUACAAAAGCUCAUUUAGACAAGGCCCAAACUGAGAGUGG
rnacentral:lncRNA from 1 species